rnacentral:SRP_RNA from 1 species
CUGGGCUAGAUGGGGAGUUAACGGUGCCCUGUAACUCGCAACCCGUUAUAGCGAGAUUGAACAAUUGCCUAGGGGUAGUUUGGUCGAAUAUGUGUGUAGAUUGUUGAUGUUGAAAUCAAGGUCUUAUGCAAUUUGUCACUCUGAACCAUGCCAGGUCUUGACGGAAGCAGCAUUAAGGAGACCGUCAGAUGUGCCAUGAGGAAGCUUUGGUGGAGUUGAAAAUCUGCAAGGCAGUCGGUCAAGUUACAACAAAGCAAUCGCCCAG